rnacentral:tRNA from 1 species
CGGCCGCUAGCUCAGUCAGGUUAGAGCAGUUGGCUUUUAACCAAUAGGUCGAAGGUUCAAAUCCUUCGCGGCCGACCA